AUUGAACGCUGGCGGCAGGCCUAACACAUGCAAGUCGAACGAGUGGCGGACGGGUGAGUAAUGUCUGGGAAACUGCCUGAUGGCGGGGGAUAACUACUGGAAACGGUAGCUAAUACCGCAUACCAUCAGAUGUGCCCAUAUGGGAUUAGCUUGUAGGUGGGGUAACGGCUCACCAAGGCGACGAUCCCUAGCUGGUCUGAGAGGAUGACCAGCCACACUGGGACUGAGACACGGCCCAGACUCCUACGGGAGGCAGCAGUAGGGAAUAUUGCGCAAUGGACUCAAGCCUGAUGCAGCCAUGCCGCGUGUAUGAAGAAGGCCUUCGGGUUGUAAAGUACUUUCGGUGGGGAGGCGUUACCCAAAGAAGAAGCCCCGGCUAACUCCGUGCCAGCAGCCGCGGUAAUUC
rnacentral:rRNA from 1 species